UUAAAUCAAUAAUAUGAUAUACUAUGCAAUAACUACUAUGACAAUUAGGCAUGCGCAACAGGCCGACCUUGUCUGAGCCUGCCAGGCCUUGGGCUUUAACCAGGCCAGACCGUUGACUUUUGGCCUUCAGGCUAGGCCAGGUUUUUGUCGCUGGGCUGUGGUCUGAUUUGGCCUGCAGGCCAGGCUAGGCCCAAGAUCGGGCCCAAGGACUUGGCUGAGCUGGUCUUUUUUAAUGUUAUAUAUUAAAU
rnacentral:lncRNA from 1 species